GGGGCGCGGUGGGCGGAGCCCGGGCUGGAGGUGGGGUGCAUGUGCAAGCCGGGUAACGGCCCUGGGUUCGCACGUGGAGGUGGAGUGUGGACUCUCCCCAAAGCUAGAGGAGGAUGAAGGAACUGGGCGAGGGGUCGGAAGGGGCGUGAGAGGAGUGAAAUAUACCUUAAGUCUAGACUUUGGCAAGUUAUGAUAUUGGUUAAAAUUCCUUAUUACAAACAACAGACUGCAAGCAAGAAUUUCUUAAAUUGAUGUUCAGCAGCUCCAGGGCCAUUGGGUAAGCUAAACAAAUAAGGCAAGAUUGGAUUAAAGUGCCAGAAAAAAAAUGCCCUAAACCGUGCAACAGAACUGACAUGAUAAAGAAACUGCUGCUAUUCCCAUCAAGCACCAAAUGCCAUGAGCUCAGCUUUCCUUUAUCUGUUCCUGCUAUCAGCCAAUUCUGUGUCAGAACUUUGAUCUUGCAACCAAUGCCACCUUUACAGUCUGGAUGCCUCUUCUAUCUUUACCUGUACCAGGAAAAUGGAAGUUCUGGCUAGAUCAUGAUUGUGUAUGUCAAAGAACAAAGAAAGGACUCAGAAACCAUAACUGGAGCACCAAUGUUUAACACAGCCCUGAAAGAACACGUUUUUACAGGAAGCAAAGAGGAACUCUCAAGGGUAUUUCACCAUAAGCUUAAAGGAUAAAAUGUUGGAAGCAGACCUAAAGUUAGAAUGGAUAUGACAAUUUGCCAAGGCAGACGAAAGACACUCUGAAGGUAAGUGCUGUUCAAACUACUCUUGAUAGAAUUCUUCAAAGAAAUAAAACAUUUAAUGUUUCUAAUGUUUUAAAUAACACUCUUUGUAAAUGUAACUUUUCCUAUUUUUAAAAUGUCCCUAUGCGUUUGUAAAUGAAAGUUUACAAUAUUUUGGAAAGAAGAUAUUAUGGAGCAGUGGUCAUUUUUCCUGGUAAUUAUCAAGAUUGCUUUGUACACUGUCAGCUUGCCUGGUCAUUUUUGUGUUCCUGCACUAGCAUGCAAAGUGAGGACGGCCUGUAUACAGGUAGAAUAAGAAGAAAUUCAAAAUGAUGGGAUUGUACUAAUGCCUUGGCAAUAAAACAUGGCAGCUGCUGUCAAACCAUCUUAACAUUUGCUUCCUUAAAGAAGAAGUCUGCAACAAUUAGAAAACCAUCAGCUGCAGGCUGGCAACAAAUGGUGACAGCUGUACCGGGCAUCACAUCCAAAUGCCACGUUGUCCAGAGGCAGAUAGGGGCUGUCUCUUCUACAGUCUACUUCUCAGGAGGAAAGAAAUGCCCUCCAUCCUGUCGGCCACAACGGACUCCACACAACCUAGUCAGGGUUCAGGAUAGAAAACUAAAGCUACUCUACGUAUUCUGGAUUGGAGGGGCUUAACAUAGAAUUUGGGGGCAUACGCAACUCCUGGGAGAGCCAGGGAAGCAGACUUCAGAAACUCUAUCCUUAAAGAUCAGAGGAGUUGACCCCGAAUAACCUUAGCCUCAAACACCUAAGUGUGUAAUUCCUCAAAUUUGUGCUAGGAAGCUGCUGGGACUCUCUCAUCUGCCCACCUAUACAGCUACAAUCAUCUCUAGAGGAAUAACAGCACCCUCUUUGCAAAUCCUGAGCUGAGUUCCUCUUGUGAGCAAUGGCCCGGAACAGGACAGAGAACAGUGAUUCUGGAUAGCAUGGGUCCUAGACUUAGAGGGGAAUAGUGGUCCAUGUUGAAAGCAGACAAUCCAGCAUACCCACCCUAAAGUAGCUCCAGCAAAGGGGAAUGGUCCACUGAGAUUGAUUGAGGACCAUUAGGCUUUCCCUUUGAUCCUGCAGGUAGGGUAAAGUCACUCUCAACAUGUUGCUUGGGGGAGGAUUGAAACCCACCCGCCUCCCUCGCAAAUCAGUGUUUGAUGAGCAAGGAAAGUAAGGAAACACUGUUGGUUAGACAACCAGUGGUGCCUGUUCCAUGCUGGGUCUCAACAUAAUCAUAAUUUUCUUUGCAAAUAAACAUAUUUGUUACCAAAGUAGCUCGCCGUAUAUAUAUAUUUUAAUGCUGUAUAACAUUCACUAUACAUACCUAUUAUUACCCACAAGGUACAAUCUCCUACGAGCAGUUCAAAUUCCAGGCUAAAUUGUAAAAUUAUAGUCAGCUAAACAUUGAUAAUGUACAGUGCUACUGCAUUCAGUAAAAAGUUGAAGUUCCUUUUAGAAAAUGCCCCCAUUAGCUCUCUCUUUCAGAUAACUGGCCAGAUUCAUUUGUCUGCUGCUUCUUUAUAUGGCUUACCAGCAAUGCCCUGAGCAUCUCCCAGAGUUAAUGAACAUUAUUUGCAUGGUUCAAAUUUAUAAGAUUACAAGCCAUCCCACCCCCCCACACACCUUCCUGCUGCCCUUCUUCCUACUUCUUCCUAAUCCCCGUUUGGCUGUUGCUUCACAUCCCAUUUAACACCAUUCCAGUUUCCUCAGAGACUGUGGGACCCAUUUUCCCCUGGGAGAAGGGAAGCUGGCGGCUGUGAAUCCAUUUGGGGGCCGAGGAAAGAAUGCAAAUGUCAAGGAUGCUAAUUUCUGAUCUUCUCGCCAGGGUUCUUUACAGUAAAUCCUUUUUAUAAGAAAGCCCUGAAGAUGAGCCUUGGUGAGGUGAGGGGGGGGGGGGGGAGGGAUGUAUCAGCAAAGUUAUGUAUGUGCAGGUUCCAGGGAGUGGCUUCUGUUCUAGAAGGGCCCCACAGCUCAGCGUUUCCUCCCACAUGCCUCCUCGAAUAUGCAAUCUGCAUAUGUAUUUAUAACUCUGCAGUAAAAAAGUGAACUUUAUUAGCAGAGAUAACUGUCAUAAUUCAAGCAACUGCACUCUGCAGAGCAACCAGAGACUAUAGGCACCAGGAUUAUAUAUGUUCAGUCAAGUCAUGUGCAAGUGCAGGGGAAUUAUGAGUCACUAAUUGGGCAUAAACCAGGAAGGAGGAAGGACUAGAAUUGAUUGUCCCUGUGAUGGACUCUGGGGGUCCAGAGAACAUGCCCAAAAGGUUUCUUCUAGAGAAUUGUUAGAUCCCAGGGAGAUACCGAGAGAGGGUAGUGACUUUACCAUGCAUUUUGGCAUCUACCCAUUCUAGUAGCAGCCCUCAAUAAACGUUUGUUGACUGAAUGAGUGAAUGCAAUGUUGUCCCUGGCAAUGAACAAUAGCUCCUGAAUUGUUCUAUGUGUGUGUACGUCUUCCCCUCCUUCCUAGUCAAACAUUUAUUCUAACCCAGUGGAGCCACAGCUGUGCCGUUGAAGAGCCGUAUCCACAAUCACUAUUAGCCAAGUGAGGCUCUCAGCCAGUGGUUCUCAGCCUUGGCUGCACGUUAGAAUCACUUGGGGGAUGUUUGAAAGCCCAAUGCUCAGGCCUAACCUCAGAUCAGUUAAAAUCAGAAUUUCUGGAGCCGAGGCAUCAGACUUCCGAGACUGAGAACCACUGCUCUAAGGUAACAUGGAUACCUAAGCCAGAGCUUAGGUAUCGAAAGACCUAGAAGCUGUCCCUCAGCAUAAAAAUGUGCCACAGCCACCCUCCCUGAGGCCCAGAGUGCAGAUAGAAGAGAAAGAAUACUCUCCUGCAACUUAGGAAUUUGAGGAGGGGAGGGUGCAUCCCGUGUCUUGGGAAUACAUAACACUUCAAACAAAAUGAUGCCACGCUGCCGAGUGUGAUGGGAAGCUAUCCGAGGGCUCCCCCCGCCCUCCUUACUGACCUUUCUCCAGCUUUCCCAGAAGCUCUGGGGCCCUCUGCGUGCUGCCCAGGGGUCCCAGCGUCCUCUCUGGCGACCUCAUCCGGAGAGGAGAGAUAGGAAGACUGGAACUGAACUAUAUCUGCAUGGAGCCUAACCAAAGAAGGAGAAUCAAAGCAAAUCCAAGAAGAGAUGGAGGUGCAGAGAUGUGAGCUAACUUACCCAAGUCACAUAACUAGUGAGUUGAAGAUACCAGCUUCAAAUUCAGGUUAAGUCUGGCUCCAAAGUUCAUGCUGUUAACCACUUUGAGAGUUUACCUCCCAGUUAUAGUAACCAUUUGUCAAGUGAC